UCACCGCUCAGAUAAAUUUCAGUGAUAUGCAAUUUAAUGAUACGAUAAUUCCAAUAACCGGUCCGUUCACUUUUCAAUCCCUUCACAGAUUUCUCCUUUUCUGUUUUGUUCGAGAGCUUCCAUUGGACAGAUCGUAUCGAUUGUUACUUUCCAGUGAAGUCACCGCUCCGGUAAAUUUCAGUGAUAUCGUAUCGAUUGUUACUUUCUAUCGUGAUCCAAAACCUGUAAUCGAAAUAUCACCAGUAAGAUCGUAUCAAGGAUUUGAAUCACACCCGUCUUUGAAAAGUAUUGAUCACUGAUAUUUGUGACUUUAUGAUAUUGGUUACGUAAUAACCACUCGUAAAAUAUUCGUCAUCCCUACUCACACUUCCGGAGGACAUUUCUUCCGUGCUUUUGUUAUUUGUGAUGUCUUCCAGGUGGCGCUAUUAGUUGUUUCAAUUUUCAACUUUUGGUUGUGCUGACAUGUGUAAUGUUUUUGUUUUACACACGCAUUCGGAUUACCUAACAUUUUCAAACGCAUUUGACACAUACAUAAUCGAAUGUAAUGAUAGAUAAAAACUUAUCAAUAUUUAGAUGAUUUUUUUAAUUUACGAUUCAUUAUGCACUUAUAGUAUCUUCUUUACUUAUAAUUAAAGUGAAUAUUUAAAUCUUCAUGAGAUGGAUAGAAAUUUAAAAGCAUGCAACAUUUUGUUUUGGCAAUCAUUUGCGAAAAUAUAGUUGUGCAAAGUUUUCUCCAUUUUAAAGCUGGGAUAAAAUCUCUUUAUAAAAAUGCAGUGGCCUCUAGAUUUUAUCACCAAUCAACUGAGAUAUGUAUCACCAAGAUGGACGCAUUACAUAAGAUGGAACUUACUGUAAUCUUAAGAUUUCCAAGUUAGCUCGGGGACUGCUAUAAUAUGUUGAAUUUCCAGAAAAACUAAUACUCCUGCAUAAACAUUUCUGAAGUAGAGGAAAGAAUGAAAGAAGAACAUGCACUGUAACCAAUUUCAUUUAAUCGUAUAUCAUUGCCAUUAUAUAUGUAGUGACGAGCGCCAUCUGCUGGUUGUUAGACGGAGUUGACACUGGUUAGACGGAGAGCAGAUCAGACGGAUCUGGAGGAAAGUAAAGACGUGGCAGAUCAGACGGAUCUGGACGAGAGAAAAGAC